rnacentral:other from 1 species
CAUCUCCUGGGAUGUUCGCCAGUUGGUAGUCGUCCUUGAGCCGUUAGAAAAAACCCAGGGGGUCAACGGCGAUGGUCUGUGAGCAAGCCCGACGCCGCACCCGCCUCCAUGGAGCCGGGCGUGGGUUGGGAAGCCUGGGACUUCGCUCCGCGGCCCCCGACCUGAACCAAACGGUUCAGGGCCAUAUCGACAGCGGCAUCCUGGGAGAUCC